AACAGACCACUUUGUGACUGAAAUAUGGAGUAAAGGGAGGAAAAUAAUGUGAGUUUGGCCAGUUAUUAACAGAUCAGAAGGAAAAAAGUAAAGAAGGCUGGGGCCAAUAAACAAUUCUGGGGACAGUAACCAAGCUUGAAUCCAGUUCAUGCUCUUCCUGAAGUCAGAGAAGGACAAGAGAUACAGGAACAAGGGGAGAGAACAUCUUCGGAGGUUUGUGAGGCAGAUACUACAACUAUUAUUAUCCCCAUUUUUCAGAAGAGGUAUGUAAGGCUCAGAGAGCCUCGGCCAAAGUCACA